rnacentral:rRNA from 1 species
AUUGAACGCUGGCGGCAUGCCUUACACAUGCAAGGUCGAACGGCAGCACGGGGGCAACCCUGGUGGCGAGUGGCGAACGGGUGAGUAACAUAUCGGAACAUACCCUAGAGUGGGGAUAACGUAGCGAAAGUUACGCUAAUACCGCAUACGAUCUAAGGAUGAAAGUGGGGGAUCUUCGGACCUCAUGCUCAUGGAGUGGCCGAUAUCUGAUUAGCUAGUUGGUGAGGUAAAGGCUCACCAAGGCGACGAUCAGUAGCUGGUUUGAGAGAACGACCAGCCACACUGGAACUGAGACACGGUCCAGACUCCUACGGGAGGCAGCAGUGGGGAAUUUUGGACAAUGGGGGCAACCCUGAUCCAGCAAUGCCGCGUGAGUGAAGAAGGCCUUCGGGUUGUAAA